rnacentral:rRNA from 1 species
UACGGAGGGUGCAAGCGUUGUCCGGAAUUAUUGGGCGUAAAGGGCUCGUAGGCGGUCCAUCACGUCGGGAGUGAAAAGCUGGGGCUUAACCCCAGUCCUGCUUCCGAUACGGGUGGACUAGAGGUAGGCAGGGGAGAACGGAAUUCCUGGUGUAGCGGUGAAAUGCGCAGAUAUCAGGAGGAGCACCGGUGGCGAAGGCGGUUCUCUGGGCCUUAACUGACGCUGAGGAGCGAAAGCGUGGGGAGCAAACAGG